rnacentral:rRNA from 1 species
UGGGGAAUUUUGCACAAUGGGGGAAACCCUGAUGCAGCGACGCCGCGUGAUUUAGAAGGCCUUCGGGUUGUAAAAAUCUUUUUUACGGGAUGAAACUGACAGUACCGUAAGAAUAAGGUCCGGCUAAAUACGUGCCAGCAGCCGCGGUAAUACGUAUGGACCGAGCGUUGUCCGGAAUCAUUGGGCGUAAAGGGUACGUAGGCGGCCUAGUAAGUUAGAAGUGAAAUAAUAUAGCUCAACUAUAUAAAGCUUUUAAAACUGCUAGGCUUGAGAGAUGGAAGGGAAAGUGGAAUUCCUAGUGUAGCGGUGAAAUGCGCAGAUAUUAGGAAGAAUACCGGUGGCGAAGGCGACUUUCUGGUCAUCAUCUGACGCUGAGGUACGAAAGCGUGGGUAGCAAACAGG